UGGGGCGUCGUCAAGCGGCUAAGACACGGGACUUUGAUUCCCGCAUUCGGAGGUUCGAAUCCUCCCGCCCCAGCCA
rnacentral:tRNA from 2 species